AAACUCCCAGUUCCCUCUGGGCCCUUCAUAUUUCGUCUUCUUUAUCUAAAAGAGUUUAACUCGCAUUGUUUUACCAUCAGAGACACAAUGUCCUCUCAGCCAAGAAGAAAACCCAUCUCAUUUAUAAAAAGAGGAGGAGAUUUAAAGGAGGUCCAUAUCCCAAAAGUUGAAGUUUGAGUAACAUUAAGGUACAAUCAUUUCUUUUGUGUUGGUUUGAUUCAGUUUCUUUUUGGGUCAAUUUGACUUUUCUCUUGCACAUCACUCACAUUUCCCGUCAAUUCCAAAUCUGUGCUACCGAAGCAACAAAAUAAACAAAUUCCGACAAUUUCAGUUCUUGCUGACUUUAUUUCUAGGGUUUCGUUGAUUCUCGCAGAUAUUGUUGCAUCGAGGUAAGCUGAAGUCACUCCUUUCUAACUUAGGGUUUCGUUAUUACACCGUUUCUGCAUUUUGUCAAACUUUUUGGCUCUCUAAACAACUAUCGCUUUGUUGCCCUUGAUGUUUUUGGCUCUGUUCAUUGCUGCUUAUAGAACAGGUGGCCGGCCGCGACCAGUGCCACUUUUCUUCAAUUUGAGAAAAUUUCCUUUGUUGAGGUUAAGUCAAAACUAGUCCUUGUUCUCAUGGUUAUCAUUUAUGUUCUGCUUUUAAUGAUGAAUUUUAUUUAGCCACUUAAUUGUGUAUGUAUUGUUACUACAUCUAAUUAGUUGUCUCCUUACAUUUUUAUUUCUAUCAAUUCUUUGUUCUGCUUUUCUUUUGUUUAUUUCAAUUCUUGAUUUUGCUUCUCUUCCGCUCUCGCUGUACACAUGCUUGUGUUUUUCUUUUUGACCUUGUAUCUUUUUUCUUGGUAUUUGGUUCUUUGAUUGGUUUUGGGAGGAAGAAAGAGUAGAAGCAAUAUGAAAAAUUGAAGUACUCCGUUCUGUUUUCCUCUUUGAAUAGAGUGUAAUCUAUAUGGGUAAGACGAAGACAGGACAUAAUGCAGAACAUUAUUUAUAUCCUUAAAUUAAUGUGGCGAGACAAACAAUGCAGAACAUAUUGUAUAUAUUUAGCAGUACAACUCGAAAUUGAAGAAGAUUGUAGCUGUAAGGGCAGCAAAUAUCAGGCUAGAGAAUGCACCACUCAUUUCAGUAUCCUCGAGAUACCUUCAUGCGACACUUUCCAUACACCUGUGCAAGACUCCAAUUCUUUUUCGAUAAUCAUUUGUUUAAAUCUAUGAAAGGAUGUCAUACUACUGUCUGUGUGGCAUGUUGAUUUUCUUACUUAUCUAUCAAAAGAACACUGUCCUAUAUGACAUGCAAUAAACUUAUCUGAUUGGUUUAGCUUUUCUUUUAGUCCAAUCCUGUGAGCUGCUCAUCUUGGUGUACUUUUGAUUUUAUAAACGAGUAAAAAUUAUUAGUUCGAGCUAGAGGAUUGUCUCCACCCUGUUGUCUUUCCUUUUACCGUUCUAAGCGGCUUUGUGGCUCUAGUACCUACUCAAUGUUGAAGUGUUUCAUAUAUCAAUAUGUAUUUCACUUGCACUUUUCCAGUUAGUAAUAUGAUUUCGAUUUUGGAUUUCCACUCCUUUAUAGAAAUCACCGGGUAUCUCAUCACUUUUGAUACUGAUAUCCUGCUCACAUCCUGUGCUUUCUUUAGGGGCUCUUUUUUUUCUCUUCUCAGGGACCUUCCAGUUACUGACAGAAUAAAUGUGAACCAACCUCGUGCUUGAAUUUCCAUGGUAUCAGUAAACUGGGUUGGAUGACGGAUCAUCUUACUUGUGAAGAUGGUGGCCUUCAUAAAUUUGAGUAUAUUAGAGGUUCUCUGGUUGUAUCUUUGAAGUUGCAUCUCUGUGUCUAUCUUGCUGUGUGCAUAGCUUCUUCGUUGUAAAUAUUGUUUUGGCUCCUUGUAUUUUAAGGCUGUUAAAUAUUCAUACUUUUCAAUGUCCGAAUCAUAUGUAAGUUUUUCUUUCAGCCACGACUUCUUUCAGUCAAUGUAUCAGAUUCCACCUGAUCUGUUGAAGGAUAUGCGUGAUUCCUCUUCCUUAGGUGGGAUGCUUCCAUAUGCCAGCUUCAAUGCCACAUCACAAAUUAAAACAAUUUGGUUGUUUGGUGCUGCCUCUCCUUUUUAACAUUGAAGCACGUAUCUCAUAAUUGAUAACAUCAAGAGUGUUGGCACUUAUCUUAUGUCAUUACACAAGACAUGCUUUUCCUAUGAUCGAAGAAUUGUUUCUUCAAAGGUAGUAACAAAUACGCUGAAGAUAAUAAUGAGCCUUCCUAUGAAACUGUACAAAAGGAGCCACACUUGGUGGGCAGCCAAUAUUAUCUUCUUAUGAAAGUUUGUGGCUGCAUUCUAAGGUCAUAUUCUUCAAAAGGAAAUGAAACUAGCCAAGGACGAGCUCGAAGACAUUUGAAUUGUGUUGGCUUUUUUUUUUUUUUGGCAUUUCAUAUGUAUAGAAUUCCUAUUUAUUAUGAAUUUUUAAUAAAUUGUUCCUUGAUCA